CUCGCGUUGGAGGAGCUUGCUCUGAGCUGCUGCCACCUGCUGGGCUGGAGCUGGAGCUGGAGCUGCGAAUUCGGAGUCCCGGUUCCCUGUGCCACCUGGCGAGCUCAGCAAACUAAAAGUCUCUUUGUCUUCAUCGUUUCCGGCACUGAUGUGAGCACAUCAUAAGCACAAGACCUGGACACCUUUACAAUCAGAGGUAGCAUCUGUCUGGAACUGUAUCUUGACUCUCACUGGUGCUUUUCCUUUGGUUGAUGCAAAGCUUUUGAAUCCUUUAGGGAGAUGUCAUUGUGAGUAUCUAUGAUACUAUGCUACUACUAUCUAUGAUCAUUGAGAGUAUCUAUGGUACUAUGAUACUACUAUCUAUGAUCAUUGGGAGUAUCUAUGGUACUAUGAUACUACUAUCUAUGAUCAUUGUGAGUGUCUAUGAUAGUCUCCUGUGCCUUCAAAAUCUUUGCCUUCUCCAUAGAACUUUCCCAACUAGCUUGUAAGAUCCAAAGGUGUGAGACACACUGAUCCAGAACAUUCAGGGAGUGUAGUGAGGGGAAGGAAAUAUAAAUUGUCUCGUCAGCAGUUAAUUUUUAUUUUAUUUUAUUUUAUUUUUUUUGAGAUGGAGCCUCGCUCUGUCGCCCAGGCUGGAGUGCAAUGGUGCAAUCUCAGUUCACUGCAACCUCCGCCUCCUGGGUUCAAGCAAUUCUUCUGCCUCAGCCUCCAGAGUAGCUGGGAUUACCGGCACCCACCACCACACCCAGCUAACUUUUUGUAUUUUUAGUAGAGACAGGGUUUCACCAUGUUCGCCAGGCUAGUCUUGGACUCCUGAGCUCAAGUGAUCUGUCGGCCUCGGCCUCCCAAAGUUCUGGGGUUACAGGCAUGAGCCACCGUGGCCGGCCGGCAGUUAUGUUUUGAUGGCCUUUUGAGAAUGGAAGCCUGUGUGGAUUCCGUUGUCUGCCUUGCUGUGGAUCCUGAAAGGUGUUCUGUUGGCACUGGGCGCUGAGCCAGGGGGCAGGCUGUGGUGGUCCAAUGUUCAGUUGGCAUAUUUCCACUUGUACUUCAGGCACCCAACUUCCGCCAUAGCCUAGGGCUUCAGUCUUCACCCUGAGAUCCCUGGUUCCAUCAAGAUGCUCAGCUCCAUUCGGCAACCCGCGGACACCCGAGAUCUCUUUUUAAUGGCAAUGUAUUACUGCACACUUCGUAUUGUCCUAAGUACUCUGUGCACAUUACUGAAGCUAAUCUUUGCAACAAUCCUCUGAGGAGAUACAGUACUGUCAGUACUCCCAUUUUAUCGAUGAGAAUACUCACAGGAAGGUUAAAUAAUUUGCCCAAGUCUCUCAGCCAGUAAGUGAAGGCUUCAGAACUGAAAUCUAGGAGGAAGUUCAAAGCCCCUGGGCCUCACUGUGCUAUACAGUCCAUUCCAAACCCUGAGUCAGCCUCCCUCUGAACGCACUUUUCCAAGUAUAUACAUAUGCACAAGGUACAUUUCCAAGGACCUCCUGGCUCUGAUGAUAUAAAUAUCAUCUCUAAUUGUAGUACAUCAAUAUAACGGAAUACCAUGAAGCCAUUAGAAAAUGGUACAGAUCUAUAUUUAUUGACAUGGGAAAAUAUCCACAAAGCAAAGCGAAAAGCACAUUACAGUGAAAUAUACCAUACCUGGCCGGGCAUGGUGGCUCACGCCUGUAAUCCCAGCACUUUGGGAGGUCGAGGAGGGUGGAUCAUUUGAGAUCAGGAGUUCGAGACCAGCCUGGCCAACAUGGAGAAACCCCGUCUCUACUAAAAGUAUAAAAAUUAGCCUGGCGUGGUGGCGGGUGCCUGUAAUCCCAGCUACUCAGGAGGCUGAGGCAGGAGAAUCGCUUGAACCUGGGGGGCAGAGGUUGCAGUGAGCCAUGAUCGCGCCACUGCACUCCAACCUGGGUGACAGAGUGAGAUGCCAUCUCAAAAAAAAAAAAAAAAAAGAAAAAAAAGGAAAUAUACCAUACCCAUUUCUAGAAAUAAAAUAAAUCCAACAUGGGCUGGAAGAAUAAACCAAGUUAUUCUCUUGAACUCCUGGGCUCAAAUGAUCCUCCCACCUUGGCCUCCCAAAAUGCUAGGAUUACAGGCAUGAGCCACAGAGCCUGGCCCCAUCAUUCUCUUUGGGUGAGCGUUGAAGGUAAUUUUCACUUCUGAGCUCACUAUAGCAUGGGAAGAGUUUAAACUAGAAUUCAACAUGCUGCUUUUGGAGAACCGUUCCAAACAACAGGGAAGCUGUGAAGACACAGCUCAAGGUUAAACAAAACUGCCCAGGAAGCUCUAGGACAAGCUUGUCCAAUCCAUGGCCUGUGGGCCACAUGCGGCCCAGGAUAGUUUUGAAUUUGGCCUAAUGCAAAUUUGUAAACUUUCUUUUUUUUUUUUUUUUUUUUUUUGAGACGGAGUCUCGCUCUCUCGCCCAGGCUGGAGUGCAGUGGCGUGAUCUUGGCUCACUACAAGCUCCACCUCCCGGGUUCAUGCCAUCCUCCUGCCUCAGCCUCCCGAGUAGCUGGGAUUACAGGCGCCCGCCACCAUGCCUGGCUAAUUUUUUGUAUUUUUAGUAGAAACGGGGUUUCACCGUGUUAGCCAGGAUGGUCUCGAUCUCCUGACCUCAUGAUCUGCCCGUCUCGGCCUCCCAAAGUGCUGGAAUUACAGGGCAAAUUUGUAAACUUUCUUAAAACAUUAUGAGAUUUGUGAUUUUAUUAUUUUUUUUCUAGUUCAUCAGCUAUCAUUAGUGUAUUUUAUGUGUGGCCCAAGGCAAUUCUUCUUUUUCCAACAUGGCCCCAAGGAAGCCAAAAGAUUGGACACCCAGCUGGGCGCAGUGGCCCAUGCCUGUAAUCCCAGCACUUUGGGAGGUCGAGGCAGGCAGAUCACUUGGGAUCAGCAGUUUGAGACCAGCCUGGCCAACAUGGUAAAACCCUGGCUCUACUAAAAAUACAAAAAUUACCCGGGUGUGGUGGUGGGCACCUGUAAUCCCAGCUACUUGGGAGGCUGAGGCAUGAUAAUUGCUUGAACCCAGGAGGUAGAGGCUGCAGUGAACCGAGAUCGUGCCACUACACUCUGGCUUGGAUGACAGAGUGAGACUCCAUCUCAAAAAAAAAAAAAAAAGCCAGGAGUGGUGGCUUACGCCUGUAAUUCCAGCACUUUGGGAGCCAAGGCAGAUCACUUGAGAUCAGGAGUUUGAGACCAGCCUGGCCAACAUGGUGAAACCCUGGCUCUACUAAAAAUACAAAAAUUAGCCGGGUGUGGUGGCAGCUGCCUGUAAUCCUAGCUACUCAGGAGGCUGAGGCAGGAGGAUCCCUUGAACCUGGGAGGUGGAGGUUGCAGUGAACCGAGAUCAUGCCACUGUACUCCAGCCUGGGCAGAGUGAGACUCUAUCUCAAAAAAAAAAAAAAAAUUGGACAUCCCUGCUCUAGGGCCUAGGACUGGAGCUCUGGAUCUGACCGGAGCAAAGAGGAAGCACGCAAAUCCGGACAUGACGACGAGGAGGCAGUAGAGACCCAUCCUCAACUGUAAGUAACUGCCUUCGGCAGGGAAGGGGCUAACCCACGUUGUGUGGGCUCAGGCACGGCCGCGUCUGGUUCUGUGCAGGAACACAGGCAGAGGCAAGCCCUGGGUCCGCAUCAUGGCUCUGCCCUCACUCAGAUUGCCUUGUACAUGUAGGUUCUUGUCCUAGAGCCUCUUUCCCUACUUCUAAAUGAGUGGAAAGCCACCCACAAGCCCGUGAGUGAGGAUGCCCUUGGUAAACCCAGGUGAUCACACCCUGGGCAGGCCCUGCCCCACAGGGCCCCAUCCCGCUGCUCCCCAGCCUGUCCUCACCAACUGCCCAGGCAGGAGCAAAGCCCACGGGGAGGACCUGUGACCACAGGCAAGGACCACGGACCCCAGCCCCAGGGAUUUUGACCUCAAGAAAGGAAACAUCCACAAUUUACCCUCCAUCUGGUGAUCCAGCUGCAUCUGGGGUGGGUUUGGUCUCUGCUGGGACCAUGAGGUUCAGACCACCAAGAAAUAGCACUAGCACAGGUGAAAAUCAUGGGCAAACUUUAUUGGCAUAAAUCACAGGAAUUGAAAUGGGAAAAGCCAGCUUGGAAGUUUACAGAGAAAAAAUAAAAUCAAAAUCAAAUUUUCAAAUAACCACUGACUCAGAGAAUGGACCCCAGAAACCCCAGUCCCUCUUGGGGAAGAUCUAGGGUGGGUCACUAUAAACAGAGCGGUAAGGCCUGCGGGUGAAAGUGGAGACAUCAGACCUUUGGAGGGGCUGGGCUGACCUUCCCCCAAAAAGGAGGGACCCUCUUCGGAGACCCCAGCACACUCGGCUUCUGCCAGGAGGCCAGUGGAGUGGUUUGGACUGUCACCAUUAGACCCCGGUGGGGCCCCUUUCUCCUCAUCAGGAGCCCAAGGCCUGGCUCCUCUUUCAUCCUUGGUAAAGAGCUCUGGGGGGUUUCCCCAGAGGAGCCUGUCCCUCUGCCCCAAAUCCUAUCAUGCUCCCUUAUGACCUUCUUUCCAGACCCCCUGAGUGCCGAUCCCACCUGUGAAAGGGGAGGAGCAGAUCUGGGGAAGGGAUAUGCCCAGAGGAAAUCAACAAGACCAAAGAGACGUCAGAGUCCUGAUGGCCAAAAUCAGACACCAGCUUUCCUGAGAAGGCAGAAGAGAGAGCCCCAUAGAAGCAGUGGGGGCUCAGAAGGUUCAGUGGGUUCACAGGGGAGCAGAGGCUCCUGAGGGCUUACUCAGACAGGAAGCAGCCCCCCAAAACAUACUUCCCCUUCUCCUCCCACAGAAACAGAACAGAUAAAGUUCAGAAUUCUAGGCCCAAAAGGGUGCAACACCCUUCAACCAGUUUCAGUGAAGAGCUUGCUGGCCUGGGAAGUAAAGAAGGGGUUUCCAAAUACAGCAGUUUAUAAAACAGUCCUGGUGAGCUAUGAAGUGAAAGAGGGGGAGUCACAGAGCUGCUCCCAGUUCACCUGCUUGUGCUAAGAAACAAUAAAAUACAAAUUGCUUCCC
rnacentral:lncRNA from 1 species